GAUGACUGAUAUAACCUCUGUGAUCAGUUUGAUAUCGGCCCUGUGCGACGAACCGGCUGUUUAUCUGACGGGCGCCGCGGACACCAUCCUCUAUCCCCGGAUGCUGUCCAUAUGGUUGGUUUUUGUAUGGACUGAAGUAAAGAAAGACUUUAUUGAGAAACAUCACAUCCUCUUUUCCUGUCUCCUCCUCCCUGAUCCUGGUUUUCUUCCCGGUUAAAGAGAUUUCUUCCUCUCUGCUGUCACCAGGCUCUAACCAACGGACUGCUGAUUAGACAAGGGGAACUGCUGUCAUCUUCAAGGAACAAUCAGCAACAGCCAUUUCUGUUGGAGCGUC